rnacentral:rRNA from 1 species
CCUACGGGUGGCAGCAGUGAGGAAUAUUGGUCAAUGGACGAGAGUCUGAACCAGCCAAGUAGCGUGAAGGAUGACUGCCCUAUGGGUUGUAAACUUCUUUUAUAUGGGAAUAAAACGUUCCACGUGUGGGAUUUUGUAUGUACCAUAUGAAUAAGGAUCGGCUAACUCCGUGCCAGCAGCCGCGGUAAUACGGAGGAUCCGAGCGUUAUCCGGCUUUAUUGGGGUGAAAGGGAGCGUAGGUGGAUUGUUAAGUCAGUUGUGAAAGUUUGCGGCUCAACCGUAAAAUUGCAGUUGAAACUGGCAGUCUUGAGUACAGUAGAGGUGGGCGGAAUUCGUGGUGUAGCGGUGAAAUGCUUAGAUAUCACGAAGAACUCCGAUUGCGAAGGCAGUUCACUGGACUGCAACUGACACUGAGGCUCGAAAGUGUGGGUAUCAAACAGGAUUAGAUACCCUUGUAGUC